CCAGUGAGCAGCAGCAGCAAACAACAGUCCUUUCGAUCAGCGAGCAACGCAGCAGUAGCAACGAAUCGCACUGAGCUCCACGGGGAAAGGAAAAAACUCAUGGGAAGAGGAGACCAAGGUUCUUCACCUUGUUUCACUCAUUGAAAACCCGAACAAAGAGUGGAAUCCCAGUCUGGUCAAGUCCUUUCUUUUCAAAUGUGGAGAGCAAGGUUCUUCACCUUGUUCUGUCAUUAAAAACCCGAACAAAGAGUGGGGUCCUGGUCUGGUCAAGUCCUUCCUUUUCAAAUGUGGAAACCCAUGAUUGGAAGAGGAGACCAAGGU